GGAAGUAAAAGUCGUAACAAGAUUUCCGUAGGUGAACCUGCGGAAGGAUCAUUAUCGAGUUUUGGCUGGGUUGUAGCUGGCCUUCCGAGGCAUGUGCACGCCCUGCUCAUCCACUCUACACCUGUGCACUUACUGUGGGUAUCAGAUCGUGAAGCGUGCUCUUUUACCGGAGCUUGUGAAGCGUGUCUGUGCCUGCGUUUAUCACAAACACUAUAAAGUAUCAGAAUGUGUAUUACGAUGUAACGCAUCUAUAUACAACUUUCAGCAACGGAUCUCUUGGCUCUC
rnacentral:misc_RNA from 1 species